AGCAUAUCAAUAAGCGGGAGGAAAAGAAACCAACAGGGAUUGCCCCUAGUAACGGCGAGUGAAGCGGCAACAGCUCAAAUUUGAAAUCUGGCGUCUUUGGCGUCCGAGUUGUAAUUUGCAGAGGGCGCUUUGGCAUUGGCAGCGGUCCAAGUUCCUUGGAACAGGACGUCACAGAGGGUGAGAAUCCCGUACGUGGUCGCUAGCCUUUACCGUGUAAAGCCCCUUCGACGAGUCGAGUUGUUUGGGAAUGCAGCUCUAAAUGGGAGGUAAAUUUCUUCUAAAGCUAAAUACUGGCCAGAGACCGAUAGCGCACAAGUAGAGUGAUCGAAAGAUGAAAAGCACUUUGGAAAGAGAGUUAAAAAGCACGUGAAAUUGUUGAAAGGGAAGCGCUUGCAGCCAGACUUGCCUGUAGUUGCUCAUCCGGGUUUUUACCCGGUGCACUCUUCUAUAGGCAGGCCAGCAUCAGUUUGGGCGGUUGGAUAAAGGUCUCUGUCACGUACCUCCUCUCGGGGAGAACUUAUAGGGGAGACGUAAUGCAACCAGCCUGGACUGAGGUCCGCGCAUCUGCUAGGAUGCUGGCGUAAUGGCUGUAAGCGGCCCGUCUUGAAACACGGACCAAGGAGUCUAACAUCUAUGCGAGUGUUUGGGUGUCAAGCCCGAGCGCGUAAUGAAAGUGAACGGAGGUGGGAACCUUUCGGGGUGCACCAUCGACCGAUCCUGAUGUCUUCGGAUGGAUUUGAGUAAGAGCAUAGCUGUUGGGACCCGAAAGAUGGUGAACUAUGCUUGAAUAGGGUGAAGCCAGAGGAAACUCUGGUGGAGGCUCGCAGCGGUUCUGACGUGCAAAUCGAUCGUCAAAUUUGGGCAUAGGGGCGAAAGACUAAUCGAACUAUCUAGUAGCUGGUUCCUGCCGAAGUUUCCC
rnacentral:rRNA from 1 species